rnacentral:lncRNA from 1 species
AUGCUGGAAGUGAUGAAAUGUAACCAGCCUGCCACUAGGGACAUGGAUGAAGCUGAAACCAUCAAUCUCAGCAAACUGAUGCAAGAACAGAAAACCGAAUACUGCAUGUUCUCACUCUUAAGUGGGAGUUGAAUAAUGAGAACACAUGGACACAGGGAGGGGAACAUCACACACUGAUGUCUGUUGUGGGGUGGGGAAGCCAGGGGAGGGAUAACGGGGGUGGGGGGAGUGGGGAGGGAUAACAUUAGGAGAAAUACCUAAUGUGGAUGAGGGGGGAUGAAUGCAGCAAACCACCAUGGCCUGUGUAUAUUUAGGUUACAAACCUGCAUGUUCUGCACAUGUACCCCAGAACUUAAAGUAUAAUAAAAAAGGAAAUAAUUUGUCCAUAUAUAUUGUACAAUAAAAAAAGAAGCCU